rnacentral:rRNA from 1 species
AGUCGAGCGAUAGUUAGGGGCAACUCUAAUGAAAGCGGCGGACUGGUGAGAAACGCGUGGGUGACCUGCCUUUAGGAUGGGGAUAGCCGUUAGAAAUAGCGGGUAAUACCGAAUACGUUCGCUUAACUGUGGUUGAGUGAAGAAAGGAGCUACGGCUCCGCCUGGAGAUGGGCCCGCGUCCCAUUAGCUAGUUGGGGGUGUAAAGGACCACCAAGGCGAAGAUGGGUAGCCGGCCUGAGAGGGUGAACGGCCACACUGGGACUGAGAUACGGCCCAGACUCCUACGGGAGGCAGCAGCUAAGAAUAUUCCACAAUGGACGAAAGUCUGAUGGAGCGACGCCGCGUGGAUGAGGAAGGCCGAAAGGUUGUAAAAUUCUUUUGCGGAUGAAGAAUAACCGGGGCAGGGAAUGGCUUCGGGAUGACGUUAGUCUGCGAAUAAGCCCCGGCUAAUUACGUGCCAGCAGCCGCGGUAACACGUAAGGGGCGAGCGUUGUUCGGAAUUAUUGGGCGUAAAGGGCGCGUAGGCGGCCUAGUAAGUCUGAUGUGAAAACCCCGGGCUCAACCCGGGAACUGCAUUGGAAACUGCGAGGCUUGAGUCACGGAGGGGGAAUCGGAAUUCCUGGUGUAGGGGUGAAAUCUGUAGAUAUCAGGAAGAACACCGGUGGCGAAGGCGGAUUUCCAGCCGAUGACUGACGCUGAGGCGCGAAAGUGCGGGGAGCAAACAGGAUUAGAUACCCUGGUAGUCCGCACUAUAAACGAUGCACACUAGGUGUCGGGGCGAGCGUCUCGGUGCCGGAGCGAACGCGAUAAGUGUGCCGCCUGGGGAGUAUGCCCGCAAGGGUGAAACUCAAAGGAAUUGAC